rnacentral:rRNA from 1 species
CGUAGGGCCCGAGCGUUGUCCGGAAUUAUUGGGCGUAAAGGGCUCGUAGGCGGUUUGUCGCGUCGGGAGUGAAAACCAUGGGCUUAACUCAUGGCUUGCUUUCGAUACGGGCAGACUAGAGGUAUGCAGGGGAGAAUGGAAUUCCUGGUGUAGCGGUGAAAUGCGCAGAUAUCAGGAGGAACACCGGUGGCGAAGGCGGUUCUCUGGGCAUUACCUGACGCUGAGGAGCGAAAGUGUGGGGAGCGAACAGGAUUAGAUACCCUGGUAGUCCACACCGUAAACGUUGGGCGCUAGGUGUGGGACCUAUUCCAUGGGUUCCGUGCCGUAGCUAACGCAUUAAGCGCCCCGCCUGGGGAGUACGGCCGCAAGGCUA